GACGUAGGUGGCAAGCGUUAUCCGGAUUUACUGGGCGUAAAGAGGGUGCAGGUGGCCCUUCAAGUCGGAUGUAAAAUCUCCCGGCUUAACUGGGAGGGAGCAUUCGAUACUGUUAGGCUAGAGGGCAGCAGAGGGAGGUGGAAUUCUCGGUGGAGUGGUGAAAUGCGUAGAUAUCGAGAGGAACACUAGUGGCGAAGGCGGCCUCCUGGGCUGUUUCUGACACUGAGGCCCGAAAGCGUGGGGAGCAAACAGGAUUAGAUACCCCCGUA
rnacentral:rRNA from 1 species